rnacentral:rRNA from 1 species
UACGUAGGGGGCAAGCGUUGUCCGGAAUCAUUGGGCGUAAAGCGCGUGUAGGCGGUCCGGUAAGUCGGCUGUGAAAGUCCAGGGCUCAACCCUGGGAUGCCGGUCGAUACUGCCGGACUAGAGUUCGGAAGAGGCGAGUGGAAUUCCCGGUGUAGCGGUGAAAUGUGCAGAUAUCGGGAGGAACACCAAUGGCGAAGGCAGCUCGCUGGGACGUUACUGACGCUGAGGUGCGAAAGCGUGGGGAGCGAACAGG